GCGCGUCUCCCGCCUCCCAGCCACGGCCCCCGGCCGCCAAGGAGGUUGAGGGCGAGGGCGGCCCAGAGGCGGGGGAGACGGACCGACGAGGAGGAUGAUAACGUGCAGAGCGCUGUUCUAAGCGCCGGGGCAGACAGAGGGUCGCCGGGUAGCGUCAGUGGGCCCGGGCCGGCCUCUCCGGCCGUCCCCCGUAGGCCUCCGGGGCCAGGGGAGGCUCCCCGCCGGGCCUCCCCGCACCCCGACGGCCAACGGGAGCAGGACGUGAGCCGGGGACCUGCCCGGCCGACGGGUGGGCACGGCCCAGGUGGGCGGCGCCGGCCGCGUUGGGCCGAAUGGGCCCCGGACCCGUCGUCCCCCGCCCGGGCCCAAGGCGGCCGGAGAGGCCCGAGGCACGUGCCGCUGCUUCCCGCGCGCGGCGGCCCAGCCCGGCGGCGGACGGACCUGGCUUCUGAUCCCGGCUCUGCCACUCGCCUCCCCCCCCGGGACCCUGGGCCGCCUGACUCCCCUGGGCCUCCGCGAAACGGGGACGGAGGCCGCGAGCCCCGCGUGGGACGGGGACCGGGGCCCAUCCCGUUUGCUUGGAUCCCCCCCCCCCCCCCCCCCCCCCCCGGUCCAGCGCCCGGCACGGCGCUUAUCGGACGCCGUUACCGUUGUCGUCGUUAUCACUCAUCGUGAUCGUUACAAGGGACGCCAUUACGGCACCCUCCGGGGCUCAGGGCCCCCGUUUUCGGCAGCGGAAACCGGAGCUGCCGCGGGAAGGGAGGGGGUGGAAAUGGUCGUGGUCACGGUCCGGGGCAGAGAACGAGCCCGGGUUCGGUGGCAAGAGCCCGGGCUUUGGAGUCAGAGGUCACGGGUUCGAAUCCCGGCUCCGCCACCUGCCAGCUGUGUGGCUGUGGGCGAGUCGCUUCACUUCUCUGGGCCUCGGUGACCCCGCCUGGAAAAUGGGGCUGAAGACCGGGAGCCUCACGUGGGACGACCUGAUGACCCCGUAUCACCCCGGCGCCUAGAACGGUGCUCUGCUCAUAGUAAGCGCUUAACGGAUACCAACAUUAUUGUUAUUAUUAAAUUCGAAUGAAUGAAUGCUCCCACUGCCCUGAUGGGCACACUGAGGCCAGCGGAUGGGGAGCAUCUGGCCCCGGGGCAAGGAGCGAGUCAGUUUCAAGGCCUAGAAGAGAGCACGGAGAGACCCACUUGAUUUGAUCAAUUUUCUCUUAAAGUUGCCGAAAUCAGCGUCUUCCCUUCUUCCCCUAGAGGCUGUAAAAUCUCCUUACGAUGACUUUUCACUUAAAUAGCACCGUAACAUUCGAUGGUAUUUAUUGAGCGCUCACUAUGUGCAGAGCACUGGACUGAGCGCUUGGAAUGGACAAGUCGGUAACAGAGACGGCCCCUGCCCUUCGACGGCCUUAACGAGAUGACGGGGAUGUGUUUUCGUCUCUUUAAAAGAUCUUACUGGAGAGUUUUAAUUCAAGAAGUACUAAAGUGCAGCCGGCUGGGGCAUCGAUCGAGUGCUUACUGCGUGCAGAGGACCGUACUGAGCGCCUGGGAGAGAACAAGGGAGUUGGCAGACACGAUCCCCGCCCACGACGAGCCUACAGACUAAAAGGGAGGUGAACGUUAAAAUAGGUUACGGACUGGAGAAGCGGCGUGGCUCAGUGGAAAGAGCCGGGGCUCGGGAGUCAGAGGUCGCGGGUUCUAAUCCCGGCUCCGCCGCUUGUCAGCUGUGUGACCUUGGGCAAGUCACCGAAGUGUCCGUUAUAUCGUUGAAUUGUCUUCCCCCAAGCGCUCGGCAGAGUGCCCUGCACACAGUCAAUCAACACGACUGACUGGCCGACCGCUUCUCUGGGCCUCGGUUUUCGCAACUCUAAAUAAAAUGGGGAUUAAAUAAUAAUGAUGUUGGUAUCUGUUAAGCGCUUACUCUGUGCCGAGCACCGUUCUAAGCGCUGGGGUACACACGGGGGAAUCGGGCUGCCCCACGUGGGGCUCCCGGUCUUCAUCCCCAUUUGACAGAGGAGGGGACUGAGGCCCAGAGAAGUGGAGUGACUUGCCCGCGGUCACCCGGCUGACGGGUGGCGGAGCUGGGAUUCGAACCCUGUUCCCUCCUGCAGAUUAAACACCUGUUCUCGCCUACAUAGUCCGGUCUGAUCGUGUCCACCCCAGCGCUUAGUGCAGUGUUGAACACACCGUGAGUGUUUAACAAAGGCCAUCUAUUAAAAAAACAAAAACCACACCGCAUGAAAAGAAAUCCAAGUACAUGCGAUGCAGGAGGGAGAGGGAGGGAAAUGAGGGCUUAGUGGGGGAAGCCUUCUUGGAGGAGGUGUGAUUUUUUUAGGAGGGUUUUGAAGGUGAGAUGAGAGAGUGGUGGUCUCGGUGUGAAAAAUUAAGAGGGUUUUGUAAUAGAUUUAAAUUUCAUCGUACGAGAAGAUCGUACCGUGACUCUUGGAGGAAUGGAUUCUUUUAAGUUGGUUUAUCAGAGGAAUAUGUGUUCUGUUGGAAGCGAAAAGGAUCGCUUCCGAAAGCCACUGGAGUUACGGAUGACAUCGACCUCAAAAAGGUAACAAAGCACAUGACUUUGGAUUCAGGAAAAAAAACAAAACCCCAACUGGCUGCCCUUUUGUACUUCUUGAAUUAAAACUAUCCGGUAAAAUAUUUUAAAGAGAGAAAACACAUUCGUGUCAGAUGGUUUUCCCAAGCAAUUCCACGGUUACGUUGCUGUUUAAGUGAAAAGUAAUCGUAAGGAGAUUUUUAAGCCUCUAGAAGAAGAAAGGGAGAAGCUGACUUUCCAACUUGAAGGGAAACCUGAGCAAAUUCAUCCCAAGCCAUCCUCCAGCCUCACGCAAAACGAAUGACCUGUCAUUUUGACUAUUUUGCUAUAACGCAAAACAUUAAUACAUGAAAAGCUUCCCGAUUCAAACCGGCAUUUACUAAAACCACCUGCUUCGACGGGACUAUCCCGAAUGCUCGUAUGACCGUUAACGUCUCCGACAGACCAUCAGUCUGCACGUAGCGAGCGCUCGGGAGAUCCGAUGGAUUGAACUGCAUGUCGAUCCACGUGGAGAAGCAGCGCGGCUCAGCGGAAAGAGCCCGGCCUUGGGAGUCAGAGGUCACG
rnacentral:lncRNA from 1 species